rnacentral:rRNA from 1 species
CCCCUAGAUGUUCUGGGCCGCACGCGCGCUACACUGAACAGUUCAACAAGUCUUAACCUUGGCCGAUAGGUCUGGGUAAUCUUUGAACGCUGUUCGUGAUUGGGAUAGACCUUUGCAAUUAUGGGUCUUCAACGAGGAAUUCCUAGUAAACGCAAGUCAUCAGCUUGCAUUGAUUACGUCCCUGCCCUUUGUACACACCGCCCGUCGCUCCUACCGAUUGAAUGAUCCGGUGAGGCCCCCGGACUGUGGCAACGGCUUUGGUUCGCCAAACUGAUGCCGCGGGAAGCUGUCCAAACCUUAUCAUUUAGAGGAAGGAGAAGUCGUAACA